GUGCCCUCAGGUGCCUUCGAGAUCGAGAUCAACGGGCAGCUCGUCUUCUCCAAGCUGGAGAACGGGGGCUUUCCCUACGAGAAGGACCUGAUCGAGGCCAUCCGCAGAGCCCGAAAUGGGGAGCCCCUGGAGAAAA